ACAGUACUGAGGGGCUCCAGCCCCAUGCUGCUGCCUCAGCAGGCAGGAGGCAGUUUGAACAUAGAGCCUGUAGGAUGGGCAAGCAGAUGUACUUCAAGGGCAUAUUCUACCUAUUUCCCAACUUACCCUGAUGCUGGCCAACAUCUGGACUUUUAUUUUACCUUCUCAUCCUCCACGGAAGACUGAAAACCCAUUCAAGCUAAAGGCUCUGCAAAUUGACUUUUGGGUUGAACACAUCUAUGGAAAGAAAGCUUGGCAUAAAGAAAAACUGGGUUAUGCUGGAGUGUCAAGGCAGGUAAUCUUAACUACAGUGUUUGCAAAAGCAAACACUGUAAUGUAUGAAA